rnacentral:tRNA from 1 species
GUAUUGCCUCAUGUUGGCAAAAACCGAUUGAAAAUCCGCGUGUCGGUGGUUCGAUUCCGCCUCUGGGCACCA